GACCGUUCGUUUCCAAUGAACAGUCUGAAUAAUGCAAUCUAAACAUUAAAAUUAAAGAGAAAACACAACAACAAAAAGCUUUUCCUUUUCUUCGCACCCAACGACUGAAAGUUCACCACUCUCUCUCUCUGUCUCUCCUUCUCCCGCUUUCUCUCUCUCUCCAUUUUCUCCGUUGCAGAACAGCCGAGCCACGCCACAAUCCAUCCACAGAGGAACAACCUGGGCGUAAGGGAAUUUUCGGUUCAGUUCGGGUGUGUGAGGCUCAUUCCUUUGAUGAAAAGAAGAUUUUCUCUUAUUUCAGGUGUGUUUGUUUGGAUGGGGAUGCUGAUCAACUGGUAUAUUUUUCCAUGCCAUCAAAAAGUUGCAAUAAGAUUGAUCUUGUUAUGGUGACAAGAUAUUAUCUUUGUUUGCCAUCUUCAUCAAGGAGCAACUAAACACUCAGCAAGGAGGGUGGUGAAAAAUAUGAACAGUAGUUAUCAUGCUCGUCUUGGUGUUGUACAGAAAGCAUAUGCAAAUGGAGGAUAAACAGAUUACCUCAAAAUGUUGGGCUUAGAAGUUGUGUUUACUCCUACAGGAGUCAAAUACUUGCACACGAGAAAGCAACUAAGUAUGAUAUUGGCAUCUAUUUUGAGGCUAAUGACCAUGGAACCAUCCUAUUCUCAGAAUAUUUCUUAUGUUGUAGAGGCCUGAUAUAGGGAGUUUUCUUCAGUAUCUAAAGGCUAUAUCAUAUUUUCAUUUACUGUAGCAGUCUUAAUAUGAUGAUUAAGUGAUGUGCUUCCUGAAUUAUUUCGUUGUUUGAUUCAGGUUCAGAACAGUAAAAGGCCCCUUUGAGACUGUUGGCAGUCAGUAAGUUGAUUAACCAAGCAGUCGGAGAUGCUCUGAGUAGGUUGCUCACUUGCUCCUGGUGGAGGCCGUUUUGCACUGUAUGGGAUGGUCAGGACAGAGAUGGAGUGAGCUUUAUAAGGAUCUACUGAGUAGGCAGCUUGAGUUCAGUUUUCUUGAUCACCUUCUAUGAAGAUAAUCUUGUUAUCCUGAAAUUGGAAGCAAACUACCGUCAAGGCCGAUCUUUCAUACGACCAUCAGGUACCGAGGAUGUGAUAUAAGUGUUUGCAGAAGCAUCCACCUAGGAAGCAGCCGACAGCCUAGCCAACUCUGUAGCAAGACCUGUGGCUGUGGACCAUUUCCUAGGAUUUGGUUCUAUCUUUUGGUCAUUAUUGGACCAGUUUGAUUUUGAUCUUGUGAUAUUGAUCGUUGUAAAUGUGGGUAAUUACUUGAUACUUUAAUUACCUUCUCAAAACUUGAUGAAUUAGAAACAAAAUGGAAUAUGAAUUAAAUCUUCUUUUGUC